rnacentral:lncRNA from 1 species
UGCCGAUAUUUGAUGGUGCAUCAUUAAAGCUAGACUGCCGAAUGAGUUUCGGUUUGACUACAACAUCUAUAAUCGGCAUCAUGGAACAUAGCCAACUAUCAGUUAGCAUCAGUCGGCAAGCUAACUGAUUGUCAGUAAAUCCUGACUGUCUUUCUAAAUAACAACUUAUCUUAACGACUCGAUCGACUGUAUGACCGACACACAGUU